UAGGGAAUCUUCCGCAAUGGACGCAAGUCUGACGGAGCAACGCCGCGUGAGUGAAGAAGGAUUUCGGUUCGUAAAACUCUGUUGUUAGAGAAGAACAGCGCAUAGAGUAACUGUUAUGCGUGUGACGGUAUCUAACCAGAAAGCCACGGCUAACUACGUGCCAGCAGCCGCGGUAAUACGUAGGUGGCAAGCGUUAUCCGGAAUUAUUGGGCGUAAAGAGCUUGUAGGCGGUUCGUCGCGUCUGGUGUGAAAGCCCAUCGCUUAACGGUGGGUUUGCGCCGGGUACGGGCGGGCUAGAGUGCAGUAGGGGAGACUGGAAUUCCCGGUGUAACGGUGGAAUGUGUAGAUAUCGGGAAGAACACCAAUGGCGAAGGCAGGUCUCUGGGCUGUUACUGACGCUGAGAAGCGAAAGCGUGGGGAGCGAACAGG
rnacentral:rRNA from 1 species